GGAGCCUCUGUGCACACUAUGUGGAGCAUCAGCAGUGGUUGGGGUGACAAAUGAGUGCCUGUCCUGAUCCUGUGGCAGAGAGGACCUCUUCCCUUUCCCAAUCCUGGCACGGCCUGGAGAAUCAACUCUAAUCUCAUCCGAUUUGUCUCUUUCAAAUCCCGACAGAACAAGCUCCUCCUGCACGCUGGUUUCAUAAGAUGAGAGCUUACUGGAAAGGAAUGCACAUGGGUGGAGCUUCUGAUCACAGGGGGGAACGUGGAGACAGAACAGCACCUACCCCGGUGUCGGAGGCAUCCACCUCCACGGUGAACUGGAGUUCUGGGUCUGGCUUGGUGAGGAGCGGAGCGGAAGUGAAGCGGCAUUUGAGUUCCAGGAAAGCUGCCUCUGCCUCAGGGGUCCAAUGGAACGGAGUGGAGGUGGCGUGACGGCCUACUCCGGCCAAACCCAGACAACGUUGGGCCAAUUGUGCGCCGCAUUAUGGAACUCCCAAUCACGGCCUGAUGUGACACAGCCUGGAUUCAAACUAGGUACUAUACUGACACCUCUUGCACUGAGAUGCAGUGCCUUAGACCGCUGCACCACUCGGUAGCCCAUUAUCCCCUGUGCAUUUAUACCUGUGUUCUCUGUUUGUCUUUUGCUAAUUCGUCUUGUCUCGUCAAGUCUACUAGCAUGUUUUUGUACUCCUGUUUUCUUGAGCCCCUGUUGUCUAGUUAUGCCUGUUUUGAUCAUUCUGCCUGCCCUGACCAUGAGCCUGCCUACUUUUUUGUACAUUUUGCCACUGCCCUGGAUUACUGACCUCUGCCUCCCCUUAGCCUGCCUGCCACUCUGUACCUUACGGACUCUGCCCUGGACUACCGACCUAUGCCUGCCCUUGACCUGUCGUUUGCCUGUCCCCUGUUUUAUAAUAAACAUCUGUUAUUCAAACUGUCUGCAUCUGGGUCUUAUCCUGAGUCGUAUAAAUUCUUCACCUUUUCUAGCCAUGUUGAGACAGUUUAGUUCAUAUUCCUGAAGUAGCCAUA